UUCUUCUUUUUGUUCUCCUUCUCCAUCUCUUUGUUCAUCAGAAAAACCUCUGCAUAAUCAGUUGACGAAAUCAAUCGCUUCCUCAGUCUCUCGGAAAAUCUUAAGUGAACAUUUUCUCCAAACAAGGUAAGGAUAAAUCACUCUACAACUCAAGGUUAUUUUCCAGGCGAGAGUUAAUUACUCUCCAACUUAAGCUUUAAUUAGGAUUUUGCUUUAAUUAUAUUAUGUUUUAGUAUUCAUUUUUUUAGAUAAAUAGAACCCUGUAGAUUAAAUAUCCAGAUUGGUAUUCUUUAUAUUUAUGAUUUUGCAGUGGGUGAUCAUAAAAGAACCAUGAGGUUCUUUUAAGAAAUCGAGUGACGAAAAACAGAAACACGCGGUAACAUGGUUGGCCCAAACUAAUCAGUAACACAGGUUCUUUUGUUAAUAUUUGUUCCCAAUGCAAAUUAGGGAUCUCAAAUUUGCAGAUCAAAAAUCUGGAACAUGCAUUGUGACGGGAAACACCAAUUGUUGGUCCAACUACAAGGGAGCUUAAUGACUUAGAUUCAAACAGAUUGACACUUACAGAUACCGUGAGCACCCCAUGUCACACCCAGGCAUCACACACAGGCCCGAGAUGAGGUUAAUAGCGUGACACAAGUUGGUAAUCUUUUUUCGAAUUUUAAUGGUUUGGUUGACUUUGUUAAAUAUAGCAAUUCUGCUUUUGGAUUAAAGCUCACAGUGGCUCUCCGCAAUACCCUACUUCUGAUCUUAUUACUAAAGCUGAAGUUAGAUAUUCCUGUUUGGGUAUCUGACUAUAGUCUGUUCUUGAGAGACAGAUUGUCCAGGGAACUCUUAAGAAGAAAACAUUGGAGUGGGCUUUUGCAGUUCGAUAAGAUUCCAUAAGAAAUCAAGAUUUUGGUGGUGUGAACCAUUCUCAUCAAGUCUGAGUACUACCAUACUAAGCACCAUCUCAGAUACUCAAUGAAGCAAACAGUGAUAGAGGGCUCAUGGGUAUUUUGCGGGUUGCCAGUCUUUUGUCCAAAUAAUCCAUUAUUCCGAGGGUUUUGUAUAUCAACAUGGUAAGAUGUGUACAUCUAUUUUAUGUGGUCAUCCCUCUCAUGCAGAUAACCAUCAUGUAUUAUGCAAGUAUUAACGUGUAUAUGCAUUCAUGCAACUCCUGCACAAUAUUUGAGUGUCUUACUUUUACCUUUUCCUUUUUUCUAAUCUAGCCAUUUGAGUUAUAUGAUGUAGUCGUAGCUAACAGAGAUAUAGCUAGGCAUACUCUUCAUGUACAUCCACUGAGUGAA